rnacentral:rRNA from 1 species
UGUAGAAUACAAGGGAGUGUAACAUCCGUGAAAUACCUUGAUAUAUUGAAUGGAAUAACUUAUUUUUCUAAAAAAGACAGUAUCAGAUGGUCAGUUUUACUGGGGCGGUAGCCUCUAAGAAAGUAUCAGAGGCCUUCAAAGGUAUACUUACAUUGGUCAGAAACCAAUAGAUAAUUGUAUCUAUCAAAAUGUAAUGAUAAAAGUAUGCUUUACUGAAAGAUUGAUAGAUCGAUCAGUUACGCAAGUAGGAUAUAGUGAU